rnacentral:sRNA from 1 species
UGUACAUUUCAAUCAUAAGUAGAUAUGGCUAAAUUUAACUCUCAGAUUACUACGCUAUUCAUUGUUGUAGCUUUGGUGUGUGCAUUUGUUCCAGCUUUCUCAGUCGAAGAAGCUGAAGCAAAUUUAUUAUGGAAUACUUGUCUUGUUAAAAUCACUCCUAAGUGUGCGUUAGAUAUAAUUGUUGCUGUCUUCGAAAAUGGAACAAUGCCUGAUCCUUGUUGCAACGAUCUCGUUAAAGAAGGAAAAGUGUGUCACGAUACGCUUAUUAAAUAUAUUGCAGAUAAACCCAUGUUAAUUGCUCACGAAAUAGAAUACUUGAAGAAAAGUGAUGACUUGUGGAAACAUUGUGUCUCAAUCUCCAAAAGUGCUUGAAAUAUAUAUUGUGUGUACUAUUUUCAUCCAAUAAAUUGAUAUUUUUCUGUUAUAGUUUUCUUCACACUAGCGUUUAU